GAUCAACGCUGGCGGCGCACAUAAGACAUGCAAGUUGAACGGACUUAAUCGAAAUAUUUAUAUUUUGAAGCGGGGAGUGGCAGACUGGUGAGUAACGCGUAAGGAACCUGCCUAUUAGAGGGGAAUAACAGGGAGAAACCAUUGCUAAUACCGUAUAUGCCAUAGAUAUCACAUGAUAACAUUGGGAAAGGAGCAAUCCGCUAAUAGAUGGCCUUGCGUCUGCUUAGAUAGUUGGUGGGGUAACGGCCUACCAAGUCGACGAUCAGUAGCCGGACUGAGAGGUUGACCGGCCACAUUGGGAGUGAGAUACGGCCCAGACUCCUACGGGAGGCAGCAGUCGGGAAUAGUGCGCAAUGGAGGAAACUCUGACGCAGUGACGCCGCGUAUAGGAAGAAGGUUUUCGGAUUGUAAACUAUUGUCGUUAGGGAAGAGAAAGGACAGUACCUAAGGAGGAAGCUCCGGCUAACUACGUG
rnacentral:rRNA from 1 species